rnacentral:tRNA from 1 species
CGGGAUGUAGCUCAGUCCGGUAGAGUAUGCGUCUGGGGGGCGCAGGGUCGCAAGUUCGAAUCUUGUCAUCCCGA